rnacentral:rRNA from 1 species
GAUGAACGCUAGCUACAGGCUUAACACAUGCAAGUCGAGGGGCAGCAUGGUCUUAGCUUGCUAAGGCCGAUGGCGACCGGCGCACGGGUGAGUAACACGUAUCCAACCUGCCGUCUACUCUUGGACAGCCUUCUGAAAGGAAGAUUAAUACAAGAUGGCAUCAUGAGUCCGCAUGUUCACAUGAUUAAAGGUAUUCCGGUAGACGAUGGGGAUGCGUUCCAUUAGAUAGUAGGCGGGGUAACGGCCCACCUAGUCUUCGAUGGAUAGGGGUUCUGAGAGGAAGGUCCCCCACAUUGGAACUGAGACACGGUCCAAACUCCUACGGGAGGCAGCAGUGAGGAAUAUUGGUCAAUGGACGAGAGUCUGAACCAGCCAAGUAGCGUGAAGGAUGAAGGUCCUACGGAUUGAAACUUCUUUAUAAGGGAAUAAACCCUCCCACGUGUGGGAGCUUGUAUGUACCUUAUGAAUAAGCAUCGGCUAACUCCGUG